UUUAUUAUUAAUGGAAGAAAAAAAAAAUGAGAAGAGAAGAGCGUGUGGUGAGUGUGAGUGAAAGAGAGGAAAGUAUACUGGACAAGAGAAAACAACACUAGGGUUCGUUUCUUCUCAUUUUCCACAUUCCCUUCCGCCAGCGUUGCUGAAUCGGAAUCGGUUUCGGAUUCGGAUUCGGAUCGGUGCUGUUUCGUUGCCGGCUAGUCAUGAAGCUCACUGUGAAGACCUUGAAAGGCAGCCAUUUCGAAAUCAGGGUUCUACCCUCUGAUUCUAUAAUGGCUGUCAAAAAGAAUAUUGAAGACGUACAAGGCAAAGAUAAUUAUCCAUGCGGACAGCAAUUGCUGAUUCACAAUGGCAAGGUUUUGAAAGAUGAAACUACAUUAGCAGAGAAUAAGGUUUCCGAAGAUGGCUUUCUUGUUGUCAUGCUUAGUAAGAGUAAAGCCUUGGGAUCUGCUGGAACUUCAUCUACUCAGACUGCUAGCAAUCCACCUAUAACUGUGUCAACACCAGAUUCCACACCUGUAGUACAAACUCACAGAUCUGCAAACAACAAUGCAUCUGCAAACAACAAUGCAUCUGCAGCAGAUGUCACAACUACAAAUGUUACUACAGAUAAUUAUGGACAGGCUGCUUCAAAUUUAGUUGCUGGUAGUAAUCUUGAGCAGACUAUUCAACAAAUUAUGGACAUGGGUGGUGGCAGCUGGGAUAGAGAUACCGUUAGUCGUGCUCUUCGUGCAGCUUACAAUAACCCAGAGCGUGCUGUAGAUUACUUGUAUUCUGGAAUUCCUGAAGCAGCGGAAAUUGCUGUACCGGCUGCUCAUUACCCAAGUAAUCAAACUGAAACAGGUGGGGUCUCUACUGGAGUUGUUCCUGGGGCCCCUAACUCGGCUCCCUUGAAUAUGUUUCCACAGUUGAAACUCUUUCAGGAGACAAUUUCUGGUGCAGGAGCUGGAAUUGGUUCACUUGACUUCCUGAGGAACAAUCCCCAGGUGGGAUUUUUGUUUCAUCAUUUAUCUAACUGUUUCUAUUUCCACAUAUUUAGUUUCAAGCAUUGCGGACAAUGGUGCAAUCCAAUCCACAAAUUCUACAGCCUGUUCUUCAGGAGCUCGGAAAGCAAAAUCCAGGUCUCUUGAGACUGAUUGAUGAGCAUCAUGCUGAGUUUCUUCAGCUGAUAAAUGAACCCAUGGAUGGUUCGGAAGGAGAUAAUUUUGAUCAACCUGAGCAAGACAUGCCUCAUGCCAUCAAUGUGACGCCAGCUGAGCAGGAGGCAAUUGGAAGGCUAGAGGCUAUGGGAUUUGAUAGAGCCUCUGUCAUAGAGGCAUUUUUGGCAUGUGACCGUGAUGAACAAUUGGCAGCCAACUAUUUACUCGAAAAUGCUGGGGAUUUUGAGGAUUAAAUCACUAACCUACCAUGAUUCAUAGUUUUGUUCAGGCCUUUUUUUUUUUAACAUAUAUUUGUCAAGGAGGGUGGGUUUGCAUAUUUUUCUACUUACUGUGUCUUUCUUAGGCAAUUUACAUGGUAAAAGUUUCUGAUUUGGAUUGACGUGUUCUAUUAUUUGUUACUCAUGAUUUUGGUAUGGUUUAGCUUAUAUAUAACAGCGUUUUGAGUUAUCUUCCCUGAUUUAGGUUUUGGUGCGUCGUACAAGAGGAAUUGCCCCAAUGAAAAUUGCACUUUUAGUUCUGCUAAAGUUAUGUAAUUUUGCUCCUACAAUAUUUAAGCAAUUUUGUUUAUCAAA